rnacentral:rRNA from 1 species
UACGUAGGUGGCAAGCGUUGUUCGGAAUUAUUGGGCGUAAAGGGCGCGUAGGCGGUUUGUUAAGUCGGUUGUGAAAGCCCGGGGCUCAACCCCGGAGAGUCGACCGAUACUGGCAAACUAGAGUACAGAAGAGGUAGCUGGAAUUCCUGGUGUAGCGGUGAAAUGCGUAGAUAUCAGGAGGAACACCUGAGGCGAAAGCGACUUCCUGGACCAAUACUGACGCUCAUGUGCGAAAGCGUGGGGAGCAAACAGG